AAAGUUCAAAUCAAUUCGAAGGGCUUACGAUGGAUACCUAGGUACUCAGAGACGAAGAAGGGCGUGUAGGCAACGAAAAGCUUCGGUUAGUUGCGAAUAAGCGCACCCGAAGAUUCCCGAAUAGGGAAACCUAAAACACUUGCUGAUGAAUAUAUAAUUAGCAAGAUGACAACCUGAUGAACUGAAACAUCUUAGUAAUCAGAGGAAAAGAAAGCAAAAGCGAUUCCCUUAGUAGUGGCGAGCGAAAAGGGAACAGCCUAAACCGCCUAUUAAGGCGGGGUUGUGGGAGAAUAACAUAAGAAAAGAAGAAUUAGGCGAAUCAGCUGAAUCCUGUACCGUAGAUGGUGAUAGUCCAGUAGCCAAAAAUUGUUCUGAUUUUUCAUUCUAACCCGAGUAGCAUGAGGCACGUGAAACCUUAUGUGAAUCAGCGAGGACCACCUCGUAAGGCUAAAUACUCCUGAGUAACCGAUAGCGAAGCAGUACCGUGAGGGAAAGGUGAAAAGAACCCCCAUCGGGGAGUGAAAUAGAUCAUGAAAUUGUAAGCCUACAAGCAGUGGGAGAAAAAUAGAAUUUUUGACCGCGUGCCUGUUGAAGAAUGAGCCGGCGACUUAUAGGCAGUGGCAGGGUUAAGGCCAUACCGAAGCCAUAGCGAAAGCAAGUCAUAUCAGGGCACAUGUCACUGCUUAUGGACCCGAACCCGGGUGAUCUAUCCAUGGCCAGGGUGAAGCUUGGGUGAAACCAAGUGGAGGCCCGAACCGACUGGUGUUGAAAAACCAGCGGAUGAGUUGUGGUUAGGGGUGAAAUGCCAAUCGAACCCGGAGCUAGCUGGUUCUCCCCGAAAUGCGUUGAGGCGCAGCGGUUGAAUGGACUAUCUAGGGGUAAAGCACUGUUUCGGUGCGGGCUGCGAAAGCGGUACCAAAUCGAGACAAACUCUGAAUACUAGAUACGACUAGCAGUCAGCCAGUAAGACGGUGGGGGAUAAGCUCCAUCGUCAAGAGGGAAACAGCCCAGAUCACCAGCUAAGGCCCCUAAAUGAUUUCUCAGUGGUAAAGGAGGUGAGAGUGCAAAAACAGCCAGGAGGUUUGCCUAGAAGCAGCCACCCUUCAAAGAGUGCGUAAUAGCUCACUGAUCGAGCGCUCUUGCGCCGAAAAUGAACGGGACUAAGAAAUCUGCCGAAGCUGUGGGAUGUGUAAAAACAUCGGUAGGGGAGCGUUCUGCAUUAGAUUGAAGCAUCAGUGUAAUCAGGUGUGGACGAAGCAGAAGUGAGAAUGUCGGCUUGAGUAACGCAAACAAUGGUGAGAAUCCAUUGCCCCGAAAACCCAAGGGUUCCUACGCAAGGCUCGUCCACGUAGGGUGAGUCAGGACCUAAGAUAAAGCCAAACGGCGUAGUCGAUGGACAAUAGGUUAACAUUCCUAUACUAUUUCUUUGUUGCUAAAGAGGGACAGAGGAGGUGAAAGGUAGAUAAAAGUUGGUUAUCCGUUUACGGUGAUUUUGUUUAUCUCUAUCCAUACUCUCAAGAAAAGCUCAUAUAGUGUAUAUACAAAGAAGUACCUGUACCCGAAACCGACACAGGUGGGUAGGUAGAGCAUACCUAGGGGCGCGAGAUAACUCUCUCUAAGGAACUCGGCAAAAUAGCCCCGUAACUUCGGAAGAAGGGGUGCCUCCUUCGGGAGGCCGCAGUGACCAGGCCCAGGCGACUGUUUACCAAAAACACAGGUCUCCGCAAAGUCGCAAGACGACGUAUGGGGGCUGACGCCUGCCCAGUGCCGGAAGGUUAAGGAAGUCUGUGACCCGAAAACGGGAAAGCUGGCAACCGAAGCCCCGGUGAACGGCGGCCGUAACNAUGACGGUCCUAAGGUAGCGAAAUUCCUUGUCGGGUAAGUUCCGACCCGCACGAAAGGCGUAACGAUCUGGGCACUGUCUCGGAGAGAGACUCGGUGAAAUAGACUUGUCUGUGAAGAUGCGGACUACCUGCACCUGGACAGAAAGACCCUAUGAAGCUUUACUGUUCCCUGGGAUUGGGUUUGGGCUUCUCUUGCGCAGCUUAGGUGGGAGGCAAAGACGAUAUCUUUCCGGAGAUAUUCGAGCCGUCAAUGAGACACCACCCUAGAAAAACUAGAAUUCUAACUUUGUUCCUAUAAGAAGGUCAGGGGACAUUCUCAGGUAGACAGUUUCUAUGGGGCGUAGGCCUCCUAAAAGGUAACGGAGGCGUGCAAAGGUUUCCUCAGGCUGGACGGAAAUCAGCCUUCGAGUGUAAAGGCAAAAGGGAGCUUGACUGCAAGACCUACACGUCGAGCAGGGACGAAAGUCGGCCUUAGUGAUCCGACGGUACCGAGUGGAAGGGCCGUCGCUCAACGGAUAAAAGUUACUCUAGNNNNNNNNNNNNNNNNNNNNNNNNNAGUUCACAUCGACGGGAAGGUUUGGCACCUCGAUGUCGGCUCUUCGCCACCUGGCGCGGUAGUACGUGCCAAGGGUUGGGCUGUUCGCCCAUUAAAGCGGUACGUGAGCUGGGUUCAGAACGUCGUGAGACAGUUUGGUCCAUAUCCGGUGUGGGCGCUAGAGUAUUGAGAGGACCUCUCCCUGGUACGAGAGGAUCGGGAGGGACGUACCUCUGGUGUGCCAGUUAUCGUGCCAACGGUAUACGCUGGGUAGCCAAGUACGGAGCGGAUAACUGCUGAAAGCAUCUAAGUAGGAAGUCCACCUCAAGAUGAGUACUCUAAGAUAUUUUAUAUAUCUGUAGAUUACGGCAAAACUAGCCGUUUAAUAGGUAUUAGGUAUAAAUACAGUGAUGUAUUCAGCCAAGAUAUGCUAAUAAAUCAAAUAGU
rnacentral:rRNA from 1 species